rnacentral:lncRNA from 1 species
CAGAUUAUAAAAAAUAAGGACCGUAUCUUCCAGGCUUCAAAACGUAUGCAGUACAAAGAUUUUUAAAAGGCCAGGGUUCUCUCUCUCUCUGUGUAUCCAUCCAUCCAUCCAUCCAUCCAUCCAUCCAUCCAUCCAUCCAUCCAUCCAUCCAUCCAUCCAUCCAUCCAUCCAUCCAUCCAUCCAUCCAUCCAUCGAUCAUCGAACCUGGGACAGGCUUUUCUCUCAGUUCUAUCAAUUUCACAAAACAAUCUAGUAGGCACACAAGAGAGGGCCUCUUUGGUGGUUGCUCCCAGCCUAUCCAUUCUGAAGGAAAUCAACCCUGAGUGCUCACUGGAAGGACAGAUCCUGAAGCUGAGGCUCCAAUACUUCGGCCAUCUCAUGAGAAGAAAAGACUCCCUGGAAAAGAUGCUCACAUUAGGAAAGUGUGAAGGCAGGAGGAGAAGGGGAUGACAGAGGAUGAGAUGGCUAGACAGUGUCAUCAAAGCUACCAGCAUGAAUCUGACCAAACUCCAGGAGGCAGUGGAAGACAGGAGGGCCUGGCAUGCUCUCGUUGAUGGGGUCACGAAAAGUUGGACAUGACUAAAUGACUAAACAACAACUACAACCCAGGCUGUGGAUUCCUCAUCACCUUCCUUCUUGUCAUCCUUCACCAAAAGGCAAAGCCCUUUCGGUUCAGCCUUCCUCUGAAGAAUUCAAGAGUACUCCUAAGCAUCCGAAGAACCCAGAGUCUAUGAAAUGGGUAAACCAGAGAGGAACUGACCAAAGCUCGCAAAAUGAGUUGAUUUGUACAGAAUUUGCAUGAUGGCUUCCACAAAUACAAAAACUAACAAAAACAGGUAAGAUCUUAAUCUGGGGUGAGGAUACUAUUGCCCCUCCCAGUCUGUAUGUCGUUUGACUGAUAUUCAGCAAAGUCCAAUUGGCAUAACUUUGUGAUGCAAAUUGGAUACCAAAAGUAUUUAAUUUAAAAUAAUUAAAAGCUUCCUCUCUCCCUCCUGUUAGGUUUCAAGGCUCCCUGGGGCUUCCUUUUACCAGGGAGAACCCUUUAGGGACCUCGGAAUGGCAGAGAGAGAGUCAUUAAUAGAAAGAAAAAACAAAACCACUGCUGGAUUGUUGACAGCAGUCCUAAUUCUGAUGGUGGUGAUCCAUCUUAUAUAAUUAAAGGCUCCCUCUCUGUCCCAAGGCUCCCAAAGACUUUACCCAGGGCAAUAGGGACCACUACCAACCUAAGAGAGAUAAGCUUUUAAUUACUUUACAUUAAAUGUUCUAGUGUCCUAUCUGGGUUAUUCUAGCACAAAGUUACACAAAAAGAUUUUGCUCUUUAAAAGAAACUCUUCUCUCUUCUCCUGUUCCGACUGGUACCCUUUCAUCCAUUAAUUUUUUU